GAAGUUCCCUCCCAGUGCCUACCGAGGCAGGGUGGGGCGGUUCUGUGGCAUGGAAAGAACCUGGAAAACCACAUAGUCCCAGCAUAAACGGCUGCAUAGGGACGUCCUUCUCGGAGGAGUCCCCGAAAUAAGAUGGGCUAUCCUCGCUCUAGAUCGGAGCGGGCGAGUUCCUCCCGCUGCCCCGCCACUGCGGUUUGCGGAGGUCUAGGGAGUUUCAUCCCGUCCUCCGUCCUCAGCCUUCACCUUGGAAAACAGUUUCCCAAGCGUCCACAUUAAAAGUGCGCGACUUCUCGAGGCCUGCAGAAGGAGCUCCUGCAGCCCGGCAUUCCUCGGAUUCCAGCGCUGUGACGUCCCCAAGGCCGGCGCGCCUCCCGCCGGGGACCUCCGGCUCCACGCGCAGCCGCUCCCCCCGCCCCGGCGCGCUCCCGGCC
rnacentral:lncRNA from 1 species